AUGAUUAAGAAUAAUGUUAAUUAUAACCAUUUGAGACCUUAGCAUUUAUCCAAGAGCAAGAGAAUCGGUUAUUGGGUGUAGAAACACCACUAAUAGGGAUUAUGAAGCUUUAUACUCACCAAGUGUUCGAUAAAAUGCCUAAGUGACCAAAACAUGGAUAUUGUUGCUAAUUUGGAAUCAUUUUGAAUUGUAUUGAUAUAAAUUAAAGUUGAAAGGGUUGGCGAAUAUUGUAUUAUGCCCAAGAGAUGAAAGUUAAGGUAUGUGAGGCUAACUCUCUAUGUUUGGGAAUGUUAAUGAUUCUCCCUACACUAUGUUUCUUUUAUGACGUUACUAAUUGCCUUAGAAAUACAGUUAAGCCUAGU
rnacentral:lncRNA from 1 species